rnacentral:rRNA from 1 species
GACGAACGCUGGCGGCGUGCUUAACACAUGCAAGUCGAACGGAAAGGCCCCUUUGGGGGUACUCGAGUGGCGAACGGGUGCGUAACACGUGAGUAACCUGCCCUUGACUUCGGGAUAACUUCAGGAAACUGGGGCUAAUACCGGAUAGGAAUACUUGCUGCAUGGUGGGGGUUGGAAAGCUUCGGCGGUUUUGGAUGGACUCGCGGCUUAUCAGCUUGUUGGUGGGGUAGUGGCUUACCAAGGCUUUGACGGGUAGCCGGCCUGAGAGGGGGACCGGCCACAUUGGGACUGAGAUACGGCCCAGACUCCUACGGGAGGCAGCAGUGGGGAAUAUUGCACAAUGGGCGGAAGCCUGAUGCAGCAACGCCGCGUGCGGGAUGACGGCCUUCGGGUUGUAAACCGCUUUCAGCAGGGGCGAAGCUUGUGGUGACGGUACCUGCAGAAGAAGCACCGGCUAACUACGUG